rnacentral:rRNA from 1 species
UACAGAGGGUGCGAGCGUUGUCCGGAAUCACUGGGCGUAAAGGGCGCGUAGGCGGCCUGAUAAGUAGGGGGUGAAAUCUCGUGGCUCAACUGCGAGGCUGCCUCCUAAACUGUCGGGCUCGAGCACAGUAGAGGCAGGUGGAAUUCCCGGUGUAGCGGUGGAAUGCGUAGAGAUCGGGAAGAACAUCGGUGGCGAAGGCGGCCUGCUGGGCUGUUGCUGACGCUGAGGCGCGACAGCGUGGGGAGCAAACAGG